GGGCAGUUACCAGAGUGGCCAAAUGGGGCAGACUGUAAAUCUGCUGGCUUACGCCUUCGGUGGUUCGAAUCCAUCACUGCCCA
rfam:Tannerella sp. oral taxon BT063 isolate Cell 1/3 contig_2519917890, whole genome shotgun sequence.